rnacentral:lncRNA from 1 species
UUGUUUUCGCUGCCCGUUAUUCUGCCCAUUUGGACUUUUAUUCUCUAACUUGGGAAUGUACAGCAUCUAUUUUCUGAAGCCAUCAUCCCAUCACCAUUCCAAUCUUUUACGCUAUUUUCUGUGUUACUGAGAUUUCAACAGUUGUGUCUCAAUUUAAUUCUCAGUUAUUCUGUAACAAAUAACAUAUUAGUUGAGACUUAAUUAUUGAGAUAUUCGCUUUAAGGAAACCUGGGCCUAAUACUUGGGUGCUACUUUGGGCAGACAAGUAUAAGUGGAAGGAGACUACUCCGGCUUCACUUUUCCAUUUCGUCCGACUAGAAUACCACUUACAUUGUGCAAUGAUAAGCAGCUGCUUCGAUUCUACUUUCACAGGUAUUGUUAUUUGGUUUCAACACUGUAAUCUCAUAUUUACAUUAGUUAGCAUGGUAUGUGCCAAUCUCAUACCUAUUUUAGCAAGAUUUGUACGCAUUAACCCAUAUGCAUUAUUAUUAAACGGCUCGGUAACUGUCAAGACAAAUUUAGAGCACAUCUGAUCAUUUUCACCGAGUAGAGGUUAAAUUAUAAACCUUUAUCCCUUAGCCAUGUACACUACUGAAUCAUGUUUAAAGCACCCUGCAGGCAAAUAAUUCAACACCUCCAGGUCGUUGGCUUCAUCUAAAGCAUGCAAAUCAGUAUAUCAGGGACCACGUACAGGGCUAAAACAGAAACAACCCGUAGCCUGGUCUUCAGGUAUCAUCCCUCCUCCCUUGCUUGUAUCAAUCGCUUCUAACAUCUUCACCACCUCACCCAUUUCUGGACGUUUUUCUGCAUUUGCAUCCCAACAUUUUCGCAUGAUAUUUGCCAAAGAACUCGGACAACAUCUGGGGAUCUCCGGGCGUAAAUUCUGCCAAUAAAUCCAUACAGAAUGACACUCUCAACAUUAAUUUCAAAACUUUUUGACUACAUGUAAACAUGCAAUAAUUACAGUAGUUUAUAAUAGGAGAAAAAACAUGAAAUUUUUCUCGCCUAACUUUCUCUUUUCUGUUGGUUUAAGCUGUUUAAAAUUUCAUAGAUGUUAAAAGGAAAAAGUAUGGUCUCCACUUAAAUCCUGAAAGACGAACACUUCAUGGAUUAGUUGAUCUUUUCAACUAACUAUCUCUUUUCUCAAGUUGAUAUUGCAAACCUUAUACAACGGAAGCAGACAAAACUUGCAGUGUAAAAAUAAAUCAUCUAUCAAAGAACUAACCUGCCUAACAACAGCAGAUGACACAUCAGCAAAGCUAAGAUCUGGGUAAGGCAUAUCGCAGCAAUAAAUUUCCCAUAAGCAUAUGCCAAAACUGUAGACAUCGCACCUUCUAUUAUAAGGCUUUCCCUGGAGAACCUGCACAGGGUAUCUUGGUGUAAGGCCCAUCACUGGGAACACAUGCAUGGUAUAUCAGCAGGCGUCUAACUAGAGACACACAUGAAAACAGAAAAAAAUUGUUCAUUUAAAAUGAUUUAUGAAUGCGUUCUUCAGUUUCUAUGUGAUAGGUUUGUACAAACAUAAUCCUACAGAUAAUAGUAUCACUUCUUCAAAGAAAGUCUAACAUAUAAUAGUACCACACUAUAUAACAUUAGAAACUGGAUCCUCACUCAAGUUUCAAAAUGCUCUCCCCUUUCUGGACUCACUCAAAACACCAAUUAACAUUAUUUCUACUCACUCCUUAUGAAUGAUGAAAACUUCCUUUUUGUAUUUUGACUAUUCUCGCUACGCAAAUACAAAACAAGUUUAAAAUAGGCAUGAAUACCUCUGGAGCCAUGUAUCCUAGGGUACCAGUUUCACCAGUCAUGUCUCUUGGGUUCUGAGCUUCAACACGGGCAACACCAAAGUCAGCAAUUUUGAGAGUUCUUUGUGAAUCCAGUAACAUGUUUUCUGUUUUGACAUCACGAUGUACUAUUUUCUUUGAAUGCAAGUAACUAAGACUGAAAAGCAAAGCAAAAAAACCAACAAUAAGAAAUAUGUAUAGACACAUACAUAGAGAUUUCAAGCCAAGAAUGUCAAGAAACCAGAACUCACCCUCUAGAAAGGUCCAAAGCAAGUUGUAUCACAAUCUUUAAAGCCAGUUUCUUCCGCCUAUUCCUUAUCAAAUACUGUUUCAGGUUCCCACCGGGAAGAUACUCCACAACAACGCAACAUGCCCUAGCAGGAACAGCAGCAUUUCCAUCAACUGAAGCGGUUUUUGAAGGAAUCUUAAGGUUUGAGGUUCCCACAGAAGCUCCAACAAACUGUAAUCAAAAUUGAAAUGGAUACAAUUAUAUCACAAUAUUUAAAAAAUUCAAUAGAGCUUUUAACUACAUUAAUUAAUGUAGAUAUAUAAUCAUACCAUGUCAAAGAGGCAGGUGCCACUAUGUCAAAGAGGCAGGUGCCAAAAACAAGGUGCCAAAAACAAGUGGUGACUACAUUCCUAAUAUUUCACUAGUUAAUACAAAAUAGAAUCCCUUAAAAGUCUUUGUCCAAGUUUUUACAUUUAAAUGUUUGUACCCAUCAUGGUGAUCAGUAGAACAAAUAAC